AACGCACAUUGCGCCUUCUGGUAUUCCGGUAGGCAUGUCUGUCUGAGCGUCAGCAGACACCCUCAGCUGUGCCCUUUUGCUAGGGCGCACGCUGGUCUUGGGACUUUGGAUGCUGGGGUUAACUCCCCCCGCGCCUGCCCUAAACUUGCUGCACGACCUCUGGCUUACGCUGGGUCAAUGGAGUGGUGUCACAAUCUUCCAGAAGGCCUGUAGUUAGCACGGUGGCGUUAAACACUGCCGUCCCCCUCGGGGACCGAAGUUUUGACCUCAGAUCAGAUAAGGAUACCCGCUGAACUUAA
rnacentral:misc_RNA from 1 species